rnacentral:rRNA from 1 species
UACGUAGGGGGCGAGCGUUGUCCGAAGUUACUGGGCGUAAAGCGCGCGUAGGCGGUCGAUUAAGUCUGAGGUGAAAGGUUCAACGCUCAACGUGAACAGUGCCUUGGAUACUGGUCGACUUGAGUGUGGCAGAGGAGUAUGGAAUUCCUGGUGUAGCGGUGAAAUGCGUAGAUAUCAGGAGGAAUACCGAUGGCGAAGGCAGUACUCUGGGCUAACACUGACGCUGAGGUGCGAAAGCGUGGGGAGCAAACGGG